UACGGAGGGUGCAAACGUUGCUCGGAAUUAUUUGGGCGUAAAGCGCACGUAGGCGGACCAUUAAGUCGGAUGUGAAAUCCCUCGGCUUUAACCGAGGACGUGCAUUCGAAACUGAUGGCCUUGAGUACGAAAGAGGAUCGCGGAAUUUCCCGGUGUAGAGGUGAAAUUCGUAGAUAUCGGGAGGAACACCAGUGGCGAAGGCGGCGAUCUGGGUCGAUACUGACGCUGAGGUGCGAAAGCGUGGGGAGCAAAUGGG
rnacentral:rRNA from 1 species